rnacentral:misc_RNA from 1 species
UAAUAGAGUAUUUUAUGGCACUCUAAAAAAAAUCCAUAUCCACCUUGUGUGAAAUGUUAAUUCUUUAUCGAUCCUUGAAACAUUAGGUUUCGGUAGAGGGUUUUAUAUCAACUCUCUUUAAGCUUUAAAAAUUUUUAGUCAGAAAAACGUUAUGAAUUUGUACUUAAUUCAAAACA